rfam:Ruminococcus sp. YE71 genome assembly, contig: IE40DRAFT_scaffold00004.4
UGCCGCGUCGCCAAGUGGUAAGGCAGCGGACUCUGACUCCGCCAUUCCGUAGGUUCGAAUCCUUCCGCGGCAG